GGUGGAGGUGGACAUCACCAAGCCGGACAUGACCAUCCGGCAGCAGAUCAUGCAGCUGAAGAUCAUGACCAACCGGCUGCGCAGCGCCUACAACGGCAACGACGUGGACUUCCAGGACGCCAGUGACGACGGCAGCGGCUCGGGCAGCGGUGAUGGCUGUCCGGAUGACCUCUGCGGCCGGAGGGUCAGCAGGAAGAGCUCCAGCUCCCGGACGCCCUUGACCCACGCCCUCCCAGGCCUGUCAGAGCAGGAAGGGCAGAAGACCUCGGCUGCCAGCUGCCCCCAGCCCCCCACCUUCCUCCUGUCUCUCCUCCUCUUCCUGGCCCUUACAGUAGCCAGGCCCCGGUGGCGGUAACUGCCCCAAGGCCCCAGGGACAGAGGCCAAGGACUGACUUUGCCAAAAAUACAACACAGACGAUAUUUAAUUCACCUCAGCCUGGAGAGGCCUGGGGUGGGACAGGGAGGGCCGGCGGCUCUGAGCAGGGGCAGGCACAGAGGCCCCGGCCCCAGGCCUGGCCUCGCCUGCCUUUCUGCCUUUUAAUUUUGUAUGAGGUCCUCAGGUCAGCUGGGAGCCAGUGUCCCCACAAGCCAUGUAUUUCAGGGACCUCAGGGGCACCUCCGGCUGCCUAGCCCUCCCCCCAGCUCCCUGCACCGCUGCAGAAGCAGCCCCUCGAGGCCUACAGAGGAGGCCUCAAAGCAACCCGCUGGAGCCCACAGCGAGCCUGUGCCUUCCUCCCCGCCUCCUCCCACUGGGACUCCCAGCAGAGCCCACCAGCCAGCCCUGGCCCACCCCUCAGCCUCCAGAGAAGCCCCGCAAGGGCUGUCUGGGUGUCCACCAUCCAGGGUCUAGCAGAGCCU
rnacentral:sRNA from 1 species